CCUACGGGCGGCAGCAGUGGGGAAUAUUGCACAAUGGGGGAAACCCUGAUGCAGCAACGCCGCGUGAGUGAAGAAGUCAUUCGUGAUGUAAAGCUCUAUCAGCAGGGAAGAAAAUGACGGUACCUGACUAAGAAGCCCCGGCUAACUACGUGCCAGCAGCCGCGGUAAUACGUAGGGGGCAAGCGUUAUCCGGAUUUACUGGGUGUAAAGGGAGCGUAGACGGCGACGAAAGUCUGAAGUGAAAUGCCAGUGCUCAACACUGGAACUGCUUUGGAAACUGUGUAGCUAGAGUGCAGGAGAGGUAAGUGGAAUGCCUAGUGUAGCGGUGAAAUGCGUAAAUAUAUGUAAGAACACCAGUGGCGAAGGCGGCUUGCUGGGUCGAUACUGACAUUGAGGCACGAAAGCGUGGGGAGCAAACAGGAUUAGAUACCCCAGUAGUC
rnacentral:rRNA from 1 species